UUCCCAAAUUAGGCAAAAAGCAGAAAUAAAAAGCCCGACAGAGAGACGGGAUCAUUGUCCAGGUGGGAAGUGUUUGUGGUUGAGCUUCCUGUUCUCACAGAAACAUGAAGACUGUGAUGCUCGCUGUGCUGCUGCUGCUGGCCGUCAGUCAGAGUGAAGCCUUGGAGUGUCACUGUGGAGGCCAGAAGUUCUGUUCAAGCCCUGUGGAGACGUGCUCCAGCUCUAACGAUGUCUGCUCUACUCUGGUCAUCACUUCUGGGCCGGUGGUAACGCACACAAAGGGCUGCUUGAAGUCGCUGGCCUGCAGGAUCCUGAAUCGUCCGCCCGUGAUGACUGUCAGCUGUUGCAGUUCUAAUCUGUGCAACAGAUAAACCGCUGCCAUGCGGGACGUCGUCCGAUUGGUCGACGGUCUGCUGCCGUGUGUUGUGUACUGUAGAACAAUAAAGAUCAGCUGACUGCAUUUACUGUCUCCGCUCCAUUUUUAUCAUCAAACUGAUUUAUCUUCACUUUGAAAUAUUUCUGUCACAUGUUACCAUAAAGUGUCGUUACACACGGUUAGCUCAGGUCGCUAAUGAUGAGACUUCAGGACAAGAAGCCCAGAAAACAGUGAGUGAUGUCACAGUGGCCAUGCCCAUCGUUUAUUUACAGGAACUGCAGCUCGCUUCACUUUUCAGCUGCAGAGGUUCCUGCGUGAUUAUCAGGCGGUGCAGUCCUAAAAAUAACCUUUGGAAAGAUGGACGUGUGAAUACGAUUAUCUACUUUGGAUUUAUCCAAUCAUUUUACACGCUAAUAUAUAGAAUAUAUUUUUCAUGCAUGUCAGCGGCAUCUCUUAUUUGAACCGUGUGAUCUGUAACUGUAAGCCUUUGUUGCAUCGUGGGAAUAAAGAAAAACAUAAUAAUUUGGUUAAAGUGAAAUCUGCAUUUCCACAGUGGAGAAUAAUUUAAAGCUGUGUUAUUUAACCACUUCAUCGUGUGUGUUCUCUGUGAGCCGGCGAGUUUUAGUCCAACAGCCAAGAAAACGUGAAUGAAUUAGAGCGCACACAGGAAGCACAGCAGCGGCUGCAGACUGAGGACGAAGCAAACAGAAACUUUGAUUAUGACGUCAGGGCGAGUUCCUGUGGUUUCACAGUUAAUGCUAAACUUUAUUUGUGGGUUUUCUGUGGUUGUGCAAAUAAAAAGCCUGAUCCUGAGGUACAGGGUCAUCCAACGGGGUCAUUGUCCAGGUGGGAAGUGUUUGUGGUUCAGCUUCCUGUUCUCACAGAAACAUGAAGACGCUCGCUGUGCUGCUGGACGUCACAGUGAGUUCACCUGCAGACCUGCUCUCUGUGGGUUCAUUCUUAUCUGUUUAGAGUUAUUUGUCGUGUUGUGUUAUGUUGGCUUGCAUGAUGUUUAUUUAAGCUCUGACGUGUCGCUGUGGAGGUGAUUGUUGACAUGCUGUCUGACUACGUCUGUGCUUCAUGUGUCGUAAAUAUGGAGUUCCUGCAGCGUACUGUCAGGAUGAAACAUGCAGUAAAACUUACGAUCCAUCCUGUCCUGUUUCUUCUUGCAUGAAAGCAUCUGACUGCAGAGUGUGGGAGAAUGACACUCCUGCUGAUAAACUGACACCGUGCACAUUGUCUGUUUUUACUUUAUUAUCAUUUACUUUGCUGGUGUGAGGUGAUUUUAAAUGAGUGGUUGUGGAAACGUCACACGUCACUCCUGGUUUGUCUCCUGUUCAUCAGCAGCAGCACAUCAAGCAUGUCCAGGUGACUUCAGUUCAGGAGAUGAGGCCAGAGGUGAGCAGACGUAGAUUUAAAUGUCCCUCCACGGCACGAGAGACCGCCUUUCCGUGCUACAGCCGGUCUGCAGCCGUAUACGAGGAACAUGUCCUUAUCCUUAAAUGUUGGGGGAACGUGGCGGCUUCCACAAACUGCAAACCCACUCCUUAUUUUUAAUACAUGAAUUAUGAGUUUAUGAGAACACAUCAGAUUAUCAGAAGACGCCAUUACACACUGUUCAAAGUAUAUCUACAAGAACUACAUGACAGGCUGCACCUGUACGGUUUUCUAAAUAAUUUUUUUUUAAAAACAUCUGCAUUCAUGAAGUGUUGUGUAGCCCAGCGCUGAUCAUGUAUCGACUGUGAUGUAACACAAAAACAGCAUGUUAUUCAUUUGUAAUUCCUAGUUUUAUAUCUUUUGGAGAUAUAUGGGAAGCGCGGAGUGAAACAGCAUUUCGGUGCGCUGCAUACUGUGUGUACUGUUGUACUGACAAUAAAGUUCUUGAAUCUUGAA